CAGCACAUGGGAGACUGAGACAGGCC
rnacentral:piRNA from 1 species